rnacentral:rRNA from 1 species
CCUACGGGAGGCUGCAGUGGGGGAUAUUGCACAAUGGGGGGAACCCUGAUGCAGCGAUGCCGCGUGGGUGAAGAAGCGCCUCGGCGCGUAAAGCCCUGUCAGCAGGGAAGAAAAUGACGGUACCUGAAGAAGAAGCCCCGGCUAACUACGUGCCAGCAGCCGCGGGAAUACGUAGGGUGCAAGCGUUAUCCGGAUUGACUGGGUGUAAAGGGGGCGCAGACGGCGAGGCAAGCCAGGAGUGAAAGCCCGGGGCCCAACCCCGGGACUGCUCUUGGAACUGCGUGGCUGGAGUGCAGGAGGGGCAGGCGGAAUUCCUGGUGUAGCGGUGAAAUGCGUAGAGAUCAGGAGGAACACCGGUGGCGAAGGCGGCCUGCUGGACUGCAACUGACGUUGAGGCCCGAAAGCGUGGGGAGCAAACAGGAUUAGAUACCCGAGUAGUC